GUUUUAUUCAUGGUGUAAAGGUUGCUGAGGUGCUCCUUCUAUUUCUCACCUUUUUUUCGGAGAUGAUAGCUUGUUGUUUUUUAAUGCGAGAGAAGUUGAAACUCAAUGUGUUAAAGAUAUUUUGAAGGAGUAUGAAGUUGCCUCGAGACAGGUUAUCAAUUUUCAAAUAUCCUCUGUCACGUUUAAUUCUAAUUGUUCUCCUGUUAGUGCUAAUGUUGUGUGUCGAAUCUUAAAUGUGGACAAGAAGGAGGAUUAUGGUACCUAUCUUGGUCUUCCUUCGUAUAUUGGUCGGACUAAGACUGAGGUUUUCAGUUUUAUUAAAGAUCAGGUAUGAAAGAGACUUCAGGGGUGGAAAAGGAAGCUUUUAUCUAGAGCUGGUAACGAUGUUUUCCUCAAAACUAUAGCACAAGCAAUUCCUAAUUAUGUUUUGAGUGUUUUUAAGAUUCCUAUGGAGACUUGUCUAGAGCUGGAGAGAAUGAUGAAUAGUUAUUGGUGGGGUUCAAGUGGCCACGAUCAAUCUGGUAU
rnacentral:misc_RNA from 1 species